rnacentral:rRNA from 1 species
GGGACACGUGAAACCCUGUGGGAAGCAGGAGGGACCACCCUCCAAGGCUAAAUACUACCUAGUGACCGAUAGCGUAUAGUACCGUGAGGGAAAGGUGAAAAGAACCCCGGGAGGGGAGUGAAAUAGAACCUGAAACCCUGCACUUACAAGCUGUGGAAGCACAUUUCUUGUGUGACCGCGUACUUUUUGUAGAACGGGCCAACGAGUUACGUUAAGUAGCAAGGUUAAGCACUUAAGGUGCGGAGCCGUAGCGAAAGCGAGUUUUAACUGAGCGUUCAGUUACUUGACGUAGACCCGAAACCGGGCGACCUACCCAUGAGCAGGAUGAAGCGAAAGUAAAAUUUCGUGGAGGUCCGAACCCACGAGCGUUGAAAAGCUCGGGGAUGACUUGUGGGUAGCGGUGAAAUUCCAAUCGAGCCCGGAGAUAGCUGGUUCUCCCCGAAAUAGCUUUAGGGCUAGCCUCAAGGUGAGAGAUACGGAGGUAGAGCACUGAAUGUCCUAGGGGGUAUUGCACCUACCGAAGACUAUCAAACUCCGAAUGCCGUCAUCUUAUACUUGGGAGUCAGACUGUGGGUGAUAAGAUUCAUAGUCGAAAGGGCAACAGCCCAGAUCGUCAGCUAAGGUCCCUAAAUGUAAGUUAAGUGGUAAAGGAUGUGGGAUUGCACAGACAACCAGGAUGUUGGCUUAGAAGCAGCCACUCAUUCAAAGAGUGCGUAAUAGCUCACUGGUCGAGUGAUCCUGCGCCGAAGAUUUCCGGGGCUAAAACUUACUACCGAAGCUACGGCAUCAGUAAUGAUGGGUAGGGGAGCUUCCCAUACGGGUUGAAGCAUGACCGUAAGGACAUGUGGACAGUAUGGGAGUGAGAAUGUUGGCAUGAGUAGCGAGAUGUGGGUGAGAAUCCCACAGGCCGUAAACCCAAGGUUUCCAGGGGAAGGUUCGUCCGCCCUGGGUUAGUCGGGACCUAAGCUGAGGCCGAAAGGCGUAGGUGAUG